rnacentral:rRNA from 1 species
UUAACACAUGCAAGUCGAACGAAGAUCUACCUCGGUAGGUCUUAGUGGCGAACGGGUGAGUAAUACAUAGAAAUCUGCCCUUUUGAGAGGGAUACCCACGAGAAAUCGUGAUUAAUACCUCAUAAGCUCGAAAGAGGAAAGGCCGCAAGGCCGCUGAAGGAGGAGUCUAUGUCGGAUUAGAUAGUUGGUGGGGUAAUGGCCUACCAAGUCUUUGAUCCGUAGCUGGUUUGAGAGGAUGAUCAGCCACACUGGGACUGAGAUACGGCCCAGACUUCUACGGAAGGCAGCAGUGAGGAAUAUUGGACAAUGGGGGAAACCCUGAUCCAGCGAUGUCGCGUGAAUGAAGAAGGCCAUUUGGUUGUAAAGUUCUUUCGUCUGUGAAGAUAAUGACGGUAACAGAAGAAGAAGCUCCGGCUAACUCCGUGCCAGCAGCCGCGGUAAGACGGAGGGAGCAAGCGUUGCUCGGAAUGAUUGGGCGUAAAGGGUGCGUAGGUGGUUUUUUAAGUAAAAUGUUAAAGGCUUGGGCUUAACCUGAGUAUGGCAUUUUAGACUGGAAGACUUGAGUGUGGGAGAGGAAACAGGAAUUCCUCAAGUAGAGGUGAAAUUCAUAGAUAUGAGGAGGAACACCAGAGGCGAAGGCAAGUUUCUGGAACACUACUGACACUGAGGCACGAAAGCGUGGGUAGCAAACAGGAUUAGAUACCCUGGUAGUCCACGCCCUAAACGAUGAUUGCUAAACGUCGGAAAUAAUUAAUUUUCGGUGUUAAAGCUAACGCGAUAAGCAAUCCGCCUGAGUAGUACGGUCGCAAGACUAAAACUCAAAGGAAUUGACGGGGACCCGCACAAGCGGUGGAGCAUGUGGUUUAAUUCGAUAAUCCGCGAAAAACCUUACCAGCUCUUGACAUGGAGGUCGUAGCUUUAUGAGAGUAAAGCGUCGGUUAGGCC